GGCGAGGCCGGAGGGGUCGGGGCCCCCAGGGCUCUCGCACGAGUCGCGCCCGCGUUCCGAGGAGGCGCGGCGUGGGCGCGCCCCGUUCUCUGGCGCACCAGCGCGGGCCGGUGGCUGCGGCUUGUCUAGGCGCCCGUACCUGCCGUUCUAGCUGUAUGCUGUGCACACCUGCAAUCUUUCUGUGCGUCUGCCGCGGUGCCGGACUCGUGUCCUUGAAAAACAAAUCCAAAAACUUUUCAAGAUUUCUCGUCACAUCAAAUCUUUAGACACAUGUAUAGAGUAUUAAAUAUAAACGAAAAUAAAAACUAAUUGCACAGUUUGGUCAGACAAAUCUUUUAAGCCUAAUUAGCCUAUGAUUGGACAAUAAUUAACACAAACAAACGAAAGUGCUACGGUGUAGCGAAUUUUUUUUUGCCACGGAACUAAACAAGGCCGAAGGGAUUUUCGACCAUGCCUGGUCACACUUAUCGAGGUUUGUCUGCGUGAAUUUCGCUCUCGGCUCUUUGUGACGCCAUCUUUUGUGAAUUAUUGGUGUAUACAGUGAAUGAAUGGAGUGGUCUUUGUCAAAAUGAUACAGUUUACAAUUCGUCUGCUUUGGUCCAUCCGUGGAGUGGAGGUGUGGUUUUGGCCUUUUGGGAGGUCGCUCGCCAUACGAUUUUGGAACUGAGCCACUGCCCAUUGGUGGUGUGCUUCCGAUCCAGGCGCUCACUCCCGAGUCCCAAGUCAAAACGCACAGACACAGAGCCUCCUCGAGAUCUGUAAAGAUGCGUUUUGGACGGCUGAAAUUUAUACAAACAUGCACACGCGACCUCUGCACUGGACCGGGAAAUUCCCCCAGAUCGUACGGCUGCUUUUCGCGGCGAACGCGAGGUGAGAAAGAAAGCAGCGGCUUGACUCUUCUGCCUACGUGGUGGCCACCUAUGUAACUCACUUUUACACGUGUGCUUUUCUUUUCUCGUGUGAGUCUCAGUUUCAGCUUGUUGGCUUGAAUUUAUCUGUCAAAUUUAUCAAUUAUUUAGUAUUAUUUUUUUAUUUUGUAAUAAAUAAGUGUAUACUAUUUUUAGGCAUGACUUUUUAUCCAAGUGAAUAGGUUGUUCCAAAAUUCAAAACUGGACCUAGACUUUUCCUUAUUCUUUCUACAUUCACUGCAUGAACAAAUCUUUGCUACUCGAUUUGGAUGUUUGGUAGAGAUUUUUUUUCUUCCUUCUUUUGUUAAAAAUUGUUUGGCAGAGAUUCGACGAAUGCUUAUGAAGCUGAGCACAAAACCUCACUGCUCCUCGUGUGAACCUUUGGAACACCCAGUGAGACAACCGAUUGGCGUAUGAUGAAACCGAAGAAGUAGCUCCCACUAGUUUCCUGGACUUGCCUACGAGUCAAGAUACAUUUUUACCUGCCUCACCAGUGCUACUAGCGAUGGAGGCACCUUAAGCGUGCUAGGGUUGGUCAAAAGCAAGGGAAGAAGAAAGACGGAGCCGAUAAGUCAUACAUGCGAUGAAGAUAAGGUGUAGAAAAAAAAGAAAAAAACAAAGGAAUAGGAAAGAAGAAAGAUGGAGCCGAGGAAUUGUGCGUGUGACGAAGAAGAUAAGGUUGAGAGGAAGAUGAGAAAAUGAAGGAAGACAAUAAAAAUAGUAAAAAUUAAAAUGUAUUUUUGAAAUCUUUUCGUUUUCAACUAUCGAAGAAAUUGCUUUACUAGAUAUUGUCCUAAAACAGUUUUAGCUUCAUUGGUGAAGUCUUCACCGGUCGAAACAAAAAAAUCAGUCUAUCGGUGAAGCAGGCUUUGCUAAACCAAGCCUAAGGGUAUGUUUGGUUCAUAGCCCACGCGAGCCAUCUAAGUUGUGGCACUGCCGAAGGGAGGGGCGUGGGAAAUGGCCGCCACAGGUGUAGCUGAAAUAAGUAUGCAAAUGAACUAGGAAAAAGUAUGGCCGCUACAACUUAUGCAUUAACCAAACAACAACCAAACUAUUGUGGCAACCACAUGCAUGGAGAGGCAAUGUACAACUGAUGACAGGACAAAAACUUUCACACUCAUCUACUCAUCCUGGGAGUCUUGGGACCGUACCUGACAUGUUGUCAAGAGGGCUCGGCUCACUUAGGCCUUCUUUAGUUCACUCCAAAAAGUAAAAACUUUUUAAGGAUUUUUUCAUAUCAAAUCUUGUGGCAAAUGCAUAGAGCAUUAAAUAUAGAUAAAAAUAAAAAUUAAUUGUACAAUUUACGUGUAAAUUGUGAGAUGAAUCUUUUGAGCCUAGUUACUCUAUGAUUGGACAAUGUUUAUCAAAU
rnacentral:lncRNA from 1 species